CGCCCUUCACUAUAGAAUGAAUAAUCUUCAAUUAAAUUGAGAAAUCAGCCCAACUCAUUAAUUGCAUAAGUGGCCCAAAUUUCAGCCCAAUUUCAUUCUAACCCUAGAGAAAAGGAAAGCAGGCGGCGCACCAUCUUCCAUCUCCUCUCCUUCCGUCGACAGCCGGCACCACCAGGUCGCCGUCAACUCACGCCGCCAUCACCUCUGUCGCUAGUCUGCCACUCAAUUUUGUUCUGUGCGCUGCAAACACCCUCCUUCCUCUCAUCUUCAUGCCCAACUUCCCAGCAUCAAAAUUCCUGAAAUAAAAGGUUAGAUUCACUCCUUAUUGUAUCAAAAUUGAUUAAAUUGGACGUUAUUUGUCAUAAGUUAGAGACUGUAAUUGGAUGUUUUCUCUUCGCGGUGGCUGGACCGUCGCCGGCAUCUCUCGUCGCCGUCGCAGGAAUCCAAGCAGAACCGCACCUGCUAUACUGCAAGUCUGCAAUCACAAAAUCAGAAUAUCAGUCCAAGAAAUGCAGAUUCUAGUGCAUCUAUUUAAAAACGUUCUAAAUCUUAGUAUAUUCUUUCCGGCUUUCACAUAUCAAGAAUGACUUCUUCAUCAGCUUCCUCUUUGCUUAUAUUUUUUGUUGUCUUCAAUGUCCGAAAUACUAUAGGCUUCUUGAAUGUGCAAUUCUUCAACUGGUUGACUACAGUAUGCGCACUGUUUUCCUUGCAAAAUAAAGCAAUUGCUAAUGUCAUGUUUAUCAAAUAAAUAUUUCCUCUUUGUUUAUCUUUUUGCAAGCUAAUAGAUGCCUUCUUAGUAAGAUGGGAGUGACGAAGAAUCAGUAGAAAAAUUGAUGGAGAUGAGACUGAAAUGAACUUGGAAACCAAGAAAUGGUGGUUGGUAUUUAUUUAAAAACUAUUAGGUUUUUUGGCCCAAUUUUUAGCCAAAUAAAAAAAUAUACAAUCAUCUAUCCAUUUCCCGUCCAAAAGGGCAUGAAAGUCAUUUCACCCAACUGACACUUUAGAUUAGUAUAGAUAUAGAUGGCGGCGACGAAGGGUUUGUCAUCGUCGCCGACAUGUAAUUUGGCGGCUAUGGAUUCUCUGAAUGAGAACUCAAUCGGAGAAAUGACGAAUAGCUGGAAUGCGUUUUGCGCAGCAACAGAAGCGCAGCUUAGGCGCGAUGAAAAUUUGUCGUUCGCUUCUGAUAUCGUGCCACGUGUCCGAACUCUAUGCGGUUAUGGACUCCAGUCACUGAUCGUCGAGCACUUCCUUUGCUCUGUGGAGAAAACAUUUGAGAAAAAUGGAGCAUCAAGGUUUUGGAAGCAUUUUGAUGCUUACAACAAAAUGGUGGUUCAGGAUAUGGAAGACAUGGAUCAACAAGGAGAGAUGCAAGAAGUACUACAUACUGCCUUAGAACAGAUAACAUCUGAAAAGCAAUACCUGGAGAAGUGCCUAUUAGUGUUAAUUCAUGCUUUAGAGACAUGCAGGGAGAGUAAGCCUGAAGAAACAGCCCAAUCAGAUGCAGAGCGAAACUACCUAUUAUUAAAAUAUCAAUUAAUAGUAACUUCGGUUCUCAUGACUAGUCUUCCUCCACAUUUCCCUGAUGUGCUUCAGUGGUACUUUAAGGGAAGGCUUGAGGAGUUGAGUGCGAUGAUGGCUACAGGGUCUGAGUACGAUAACAAGUUAAGUGUAGAUGAUGAAGGGGACCGGGAUUGCAAAAGAGUGGAAAUGGAUAUUGAUGAAAACCAACACCAAAGAAUUGUACUGGGAAACAAUAAAUUAGUAAAGAACAUUGGGGAGGUUGUGUGUGAUCUGAGGCAUCUUGGUUUCACCUCAAUGGCCGAAGAUGCCUAUGCGUCUGCCAUAUUUCUUCUAUUGAAGGGCAAAGUGCAUGAGCUGGCUGGUGAUGAUUUCAGAUUUUCAGUAUUAGACUCUAUUAAGCAGUGGAUACAGGAUGUGCCAUUUCAGUUUUUACAUGCCCUUCUUGCAUACCUGGGUGACUCUGUAAGUUAUGGAAGCCCUUCUUCUGGUCUGAAAUCUCCUUUGGCAUCUCACCCAUCUUAUAAGUAUUGUGGAAACGAAGUUCCUUCAGAAGGACUCAUCCGAUGGCAGUUACGCCUAGAGUAUUUUGCUUAUGAAACAUUACAAGAUCUAAGAAUAGCCAAGCUUUUUGAAAUUAUUGUGGAUUAUCCUGACAGUUCCCCUGCUAUUCAAGACUUGAAACUGUGUCUUGAAUAUACCGGGCAACACUCGAAACUUGUUGAUUCUUUCAUAGCUGCACUCAAAUAUCGGUUACUAACAGCUGGUGCCUCUACCAAUGAUAUAUUGCAUCAAUAUGUUUCGACUAUUAAAGCCCUUCGAACCGUAGACCCAGCUGGCGUAUUCCUUGAAUCUGUUGGUGAACCAAUAAGAGAAUACUUGAAAGGAAGGAAGGAUACCAUUAAAUGCAUUGUUACCAUGCUCACUGAUGGGGCUGGUGGAAAUCCUACUGAACCGGGAAGUACUGGGGAUAGCCUUCUUGAAGAGCUAAAUAGAGAUGAAGAAAAUCAAGAGAGUUCUAGCUUUGAUGAUGAUGUUUGCACUGAUGACAAGCAAGCUUGGAUAAAUGCCCAAAGUUGGGAACCUGAUCCAGUGGAAGCAGAUCCCUUGAAGGGCAGCAGGUACCGGAGGAAGGUUGACAUUCUUGGUAUGAUUGUCGGCAUAAUUGGUUCGAAGGAUCAGUUGGUGAAUGAGUAUCGUGUUAUGCUGGCUGAAAAGCUUCUGAAUAAAUCUGAUUAUGACAUUGAUUCGGAGAUACGUACACUGGAACUCCUGAAGAUUCAUUUUGGUGAGAGCAGCAUGCAGAAAUGUGAAAUAAUGCUCAAUGAUCUAAUUGAUUCAAAAAGGAUGAACACCAAUAUUAAAAAAGCAACCAUCAAGCAACAACCUAAGCCAGUUGCUGACAUCGGAGAGGUUGAGCUUUCACUGGAUAAUGUUGAUGCUACCAUUAUAUCAUCAAAUUUCUGGCCACCUAUCCAGGAUGAGGCCCUUAAUAUACCUGGACCUGUGGACCAACUUUUAAGUGAUUAUGCUAAGAAGUUCAAUGAAAUCAAGACCCCUCGUAAGCUCCUAUGGAAGAGAAGUCUUGGUGUUGUGAAGUUGGAGCUGCAAUUCGAAGAUAGAACACUGCCAUUUAUGGUCACACCUCUCCAAGCUGCCAUCAUUGGUCAAUUCGAGGAUCAAACAAGUUGGACGUCGAAGAAUCUUGCUGCUGCUGUUGGUGUACCAAUUGAUGUCUUGAACAGAAGAAUAUAUUUUUGGAUAAACAAGGGCAUCCUAGCAGAAUCAGUUCCGGAUUCUGGGGAUAACACAUUUACUCUGGUGGAAGCUAUGGCCGAGGGUGGCAAAGCUGGUGUUGGCAGUGGUAGUUCUGAAGAGCUUCUAGCAGGUGAUGAGGACGGAGAGAGAUCCGUAGCAUCUGUUGAAGAUCAACUGCGAAAAGAAAUGACUGUUUAUGAGGUUGGCAUGACGAAAAAUUGACCUCUACUUUUCUGGAAAAAUUCAUCACUGGGAUGCUCACCAAUUUUGGCAGCAUGGCUCUGGACCGGAUUCACAAUACGCUCAAGAUGUUCUGUAUAGGCGACCCCUCGUACGACAAAUCACUCCAGCAGCUGCAAAGUUUUUUAGC